UACGGAGGGUGCAAGCGUUAUCCGGAAUCACUGGGUUUAAAGGGUGCGUAGGCGGUGGCGUAAGUCAGUUGUGAAAUUCCCCGGCUUAACCGGCGGGAGUGCGAUUGAUACUGCGUUACUUGAAUCAGGUUGAGGUAGGCGGAAUGUGACAUGUAGCGGUGAAAUGCUUAGAUAUGUCAUAGAACACCGAUUGCGAAGGCAGCUUGCUGGACCUGUAUUGACGCUGAGGCACGAAAGCGUGGGGAGCAAACAGG
rnacentral:rRNA from 1 species